AGGGCACAUGGCGGAUGCCUUGGCUCUCGGAGGCGAUGAAGGACGUGAUAAGCUGCGAUAAGCUGCGGGUAGGUGCAAAUGACCUUUGAUCCGCGGAUUUCCGAAUGGGACAACCCGGUACUUUGAAGAAGUAUCAUCCUGCAUUGCAGGAGGCUAACGCAGGGAACUGAAACAUCUUAGUACCUGCAGGAAAAGAAAAUAAACAAUGAUUCCCCCAGUAGUGGCGAGCGAACGGGGAAUAGCCCAAACCAUCCAUGUUACGGCAUGGGUGGGGUUGUAGGACCACGCCGUGGCAAGAAAGUUGGUGAGCAGAAUGUUCUGGAAAGUACAGCCAUAGAGCAUGACAGCUGCGUAUGCGAAGCCAAGCGAAGCCUAGUGGUAUCCUGAGUAGCGCGGAGCACGAGGAAUUCUGCGUGAAUCUGCCGGGACCAUCCGGUAAGGCUAAAUACUCCCGAGAGACCGAUAGUGAACCAGUACUGUGAAGGAAAGGUGAAAAGCACUUCGAACAGAAGAGUGAAAUAGUUCCUGAAACCAUGUGCCUACAAGCGGUCGGAGCACCUUCUGGUGUGACGGCGUGCCUUUUGCAUAAUGAACCUACGAGUUACUUUUUCCGGCGAGGUUAAGGAUUUCAGAUCUGCAGCCGAAGCGAAAGCGAGUCUGAACAGGGCGUAUAGUCGGAAGGAGUAGACGCGAAACCAAGUGAUCUACCCUUGGGCAGGUUGAAGGAUGGGUAACACCAUCUGGAGGACCGAACCAAUAAGCGUUGAAAAGCUUCUGGAUGACCUGAGGGUGGGGGUGAAAGGCUAAUCAAACUUGGAGAUAGCUCGUACUCCCCGAAAUGCAUUUAGGUGCAGCCUUGACUUAUACUGGCAUGAGGUAGAGCGACUGAUAAGAUGCGAGGGCUUCACCGCCUAUCAAGUCUUGACAAACUCCGAAUGCGUGUCAGUUCUAUGUCAGGAGUGAGGGCAUGGGUGCUAAGGUCCAUGUCCUAAAGGAGAACAAUCCGGACCAACAGCUAAGGUCCCGAAAUGAAUACUAAGUUGAACUAACGAAGUCAGAUUGCUAAGACAGCUAGGAUGUUGGCUUGGAAGCAGCCAUUCAUUUAAAGAGUGCGUAACAGCUCACUAGUCGAGGAGUUUGGCGUGGAUAAUAAUCGGGCAUAAGUAUUCUACCGAAGCUUUGGGAUGAGAAAUCAUCGGUAGGGGAGCAUUCCACUCGGCGUCGAAGGUGAAGCGCGAGCUUUGCUGGAGCGUGUGGAAAAGCAAAUGUAGGUAUAAGUAACGAUAAAGGGGGUGGGAAACCCCCUCGCCGAAAGACUAAGGUUUCCUGAUCAACGCUAAUCGGAUCAGGGUAAGUCGGGUCCUAAGGCUCAGCCGAACGGCGAGGCCGAUGGCAGAACCGGUUAAUAUUCCGGUACUACCUGUGGGAGUGACGUGGAGACGGAGUCGUGACAGCGCCGCGGACUGACGGAAUAGUCCGUUGAAGGGUGUAGAUGCUGAUUGUUCCAGGCAAAUCCGGAGCAAGAGUCGAACCUGACAGUAUGGAGCGUUCUUAGAACAAUCCAAUAGUGCGUGUAAUCAUACUUCCAAGAAAAUCCGCUAAACUUAAUCCUGCAGGUACCCGUACCGCAAACGGACACACGUAGUCGGGUUGAAUAUACUAAGGCGCUUGAGUGAUUCACGGUUAAGGAACUAGGCAAACUGACCCUGUAACUUCGGGAUAAAGGGUCCUCGCUUUACGGCGAGGCGCAGAGAAUAGGUCCAGGCAACUGUUUAACAAAAACACAGGGCUGUGCAAAAUUGAAAGAUGAAGUAUACAGCCUGACACCUGCCCGGUGCUGGAAGGUUAAGAGGAGAUGUCAUCGCAAGAGAAGCAUUGAAUUGAAGCCCCAGUAAACGGCGGCCGUAACUAUAACGGUCCUAAGGUAGCGAAAUUCCUUGUCGGGUAAGUUCCGACCUGCACGAAUGGUGUAAUGAUCUGGACGCUGUCUCAACCGUGAGCUCAGUGAAAUUGUAGUAUCGGUGAAGAUGCCGAUUACCCGCGAUGGGACGAAAAGACCCCGUGA
rnacentral:rRNA from 1 species